AUUGAACGCUGGCGGCAUGCUUUACACAUGCAAGUCGAACGGUAACAGGGUGCUUGCACCGCUGACGAGUGGCGAACGGGUGAGUAAUGCGUCGGAACGUGCCGAGUAGUGGGGGAUAACGCAUCGAAAGGUGUGCUAAUACCGCAUACGUACUGAGGUAGAAAGUGGGGGACCUUCGGGCCUCACGCUAUUCGAGCGGCCGACGUCUGAUUAGCUAGUUGGGGGGGUAAAGGCUCACCAAGGCGACGAUCAGUAGCGGGUCUGAGGGGAUGAUCCGCCACAGUGGGACUGAGACACGGCCCAGACUCCUACGGGAGGCAGCAGUGGGGAAUUUUGGACAAUGGGCGCAAGCCUGAUCCAGCCAUGCCGCGUGUCUGAAGAAGGCCUUCGGGUUGUAAAGGACUUUUGUCCGGGAGCAAAUGCCUGGUGUUAAUAGCACUGGGAGCUGAGAGUACCGGAAGAAUAAGCACCGGCUAACUACGUGCCAGCCGCCGCCGUAACAC
rnacentral:rRNA from 1 species